GACGAACGCUGGCGGCGUGCUUAACACAUGCAAGUCGAACGGAAAGGCCUCUUUCGGGGGGUACUCGAGUGGCGAACGGGUGAGUAACACGUGAGUAACCUGCCCUUGACUUUGGGAUAACUUCAGGAAACUGGGGCUAAUACCGGAUAGGAGCUCCUGCUGCAUGGUGGGGGUUGGAAAGUUUCGGCGGUUGGGGAUGGACUCGCGGCUUAUCAGCUUGUUGGUGGGGUAGUGGCUUUCCAAGGCUUUGACGGGUAGCCGGCCUGAGAGGGUGACCGGCCACAUUGGGACUGAGAUACGGCUCAGACUCCUACGGGAGGCAGCAGUGGGGAAUAUUGCACAAUGGGUGGAAGCCUGAUGCAGCAACGCCGUGUGCGGGAUGACGGCCUUCGGGUUGUAAACCGCUUUCGCUCAUGACGAAGCUUUGUGUGACGGUAGUGGGUAAAGAAGCACCGGCUAACUACGUG
rnacentral:rRNA from 1 species